GAUGAACGCUGGCGGCGUGCCUAAUACAUGCAAGUCGAGCGAACAGAUAAGGAGCUUGCUCCUUUGACGUUAGCGGCGGACGGGUGAGUAACACGUGGGUAACCUACCUAUAAGACUGGGAUAACUUCGGGAAACCGGAGCUAAUACCGGAUAAUAUUUCGAACCGCAUGGUUCGAUAGUGAAAGAUGGUUUUUCUAUCACUUAUAGAUGGACCCGCGCCGUAUUAGCUAGUUGGUAAGGUAACGGCUUACCAAGGCGACGAUACGUAGCCGACCUGAGAGGGUGAUCGGCCACACUGGAACUGAGACACGGUCCAGACUCCUACGGGAGGCAGCAGUAGGGAAUCUUCCGCAAUGGGCGAAAGCCUGACGGAGCAACGCCGCGUGAGUGAUGAAGGUCUUCGGAUCGUAAAACUCUGUUAUUAGGGAAGAACAUACGUGUAAGUAACUGUGCACGUCUUGACGGUACCUAAUCAGAAAGCCACGGCUAACUACGUG
rnacentral:rRNA from 1 species